rnacentral:rRNA from 1 species
GAUGAAUGCUGGCGGCGUGCCUAAUACAUGCAAGUCGAGCGAACAGAUGAGGAGCUUGCUCCUCUGACGUUAGCGGCGGACGGGUGAGUAACACCUGGAUAACCUACCUAUAAGACUGGGAUAACUUCGGGAAACCGGAGCUAAUACCGGAUAAUAUAUUGAACCGCAUGGUUCAAUAGUGAAAGACGGUUUUGCUGUCACUUAUAGAUGGAUCCGCGCCGCAUUAGCUAGUUGGUAAGGUAACGGCUUACCAAGGCAACGAUGCGUAGCCGACCUGAGAGGGUGAUCGGCCACACUGGAACUGAGACACGGUCCAGACUCCUACGGGAGGCAGCAGUAGGGAAUCUUCCGCAAUGGGCGAAAGCCUGACGGAGCAACGCCGCGUGAGUGAUGAAGGUCUUCGGAUCGUAAAACUCUGUUAUUAGGGAAGAACAAAUGUGUAAGUAACUAUGCACGUCUUGACGGUACCUAAUCAGAAAGCCACGGCUAACUACGUG